GUGGGGAAUCUUGCGCAAAGGGCGAAAGCCUGACGCAGCCAUGCCGCGUGAAUGAUGAAGGUCUUAGGAUUGUAAAAUUCUUUCACCGGGGACGAUAAUGACGGUACCCGGAGAAGAAGCUCCGGCUAACUUCGUGCCAGCAGCCGCGGUAAUACGAAGGGGGCUAGCGUUGCUCGGAAUUACUGGGCGUAAAGGGCGCGUAGGCGGACAGCUUAGUCAGAGGUGAAAGCCCAGGGCUCAACCUUGGAAUUGCCUUUGAUACUGGCUGUCUUGAGUUUGGGAGAGGUGAGUGGAACUCCGAGUGUAGAGGUGAAAUUCGUAGAUAUUCGGAAGAACACCAGUGGCGAAGGCGACUCACUGGCCCAAUACUGACGCUGAGGCGCGAAAGCGUGGGGAGCAAACAGGAUUAGAUACCCUGGUAGUCC
rnacentral:rRNA from 1 species